CAAUAGCGUAUAUUAAAGUUGUUGCAGUUAAAAAGCUCGUAGUUGAACUUCAGACCUGGCCGGGCGGUCCGCCUAACGGUGUGUACUGUCUGGCUGGGUCUUACCUCUUGGUGAGCCGGCAUGCCCUUCACUGGGUGUGUCGGGGAACCAGGACUUUUACCUUGAGAAAAUUAGAGUGUUCAAAGCAGGCAUAUGCCCGAAUACAUUAGCAUGGAAUAAUAAAAUAGGACGUGCGGUUCUAUUUUGUUGGUUUCUAGAGUCGCCGUAAUGAUUAAUAGGGAUAGUUGGGGGCAUUAGUAUUCAGUUGCUAGAGGUGAAAUUCUUGGAUUUACUGAAGACUAACUACUGCGAAAGCAUUUGCCAAGGAUGUUUUCAUUAA
rnacentral:rRNA from 1 species